rnacentral:rRNA from 1 species
UUUCAAAGAUUAAGCCAUGCAUGUCUCAGUGCAAGCCGAAUUAAGGUGAAACCGCGAAAGGCUCAUUAAAUCAGCUAUAAUUUAAUUGAUGGUACAAUCACGGUUACUUGGAUAACUGUGGCAAUUCUAGAGCUAAUACAUGCAAAAUGAGUUCCGACCGCGCUUUCGCUUUCGUCGGAAGCGCGGAACGAAUGCUUUUAUUAGAACAAAACCAAUCGGAUCUUUCGCGCGCGAACGUUUCGGUGACCGUGUUUUUUAACACGCGCCGACGUUUUGCGGUUUGCGAAAGUCGUCCGCCAACUCCUGGUGAUUCUGAAUAACUUUUGGCUGAUCGCACGGUCACGCACCGGCGACGCAUCUUUCAAAUGUCUGACUUAUCAACUUUCGAUGGUAGGCUACACGCCUACCAUGGUGAUAACGGGUGACGGGGAAUCAGGGUUCGAUUCCGGAGAGGGAGCCUGAGAAACGGCUACCACAUCCAAGGAAGGCAGCAGGCGCGCAAAUUACCCACUCCCGGCACGGGGAGGUAG